rnacentral:rRNA from 1 species
UACAGGGGGGGCAAGCGUUGUUCGGAAUUACUGGGCGUAAAGCGCACGUAGGCGGAUUGUUAAGUCGGGGGUGAAAUCCUGGAGCUCAACUCCAGAACUGCCUUUGAUACUGGCGAUCUUGAGUCCGGGAGAGGUGAGUGGAACUGCGAGUGUAGAGGUGAAAUUCGUAGAUAUUCGCAAGAACACCAGUGGCGAAGGCGGCUCACUGGCCCGGUACUGACGCUGAGGUGCGAAAGCGUGGGGGCAAACGGGG